rnacentral:lncRNA from 1 species
GUUUCUAAUAAGGUUGCUGGCUGCUGCACCCGACUAGAAGAAUGCUCGCCGCCCACCUUAACUUUAUUUCCUUUUUCUCCUAUUUAAUACAACACAUCCCUGUGUAAUGUUCUCGGCUAUCCAAUCGCCAAACGUUACGAAUGCUACUAAGUAAGCCUGCUGCCCGCCAGGAAAAACCCCUGUGGGGAAACCUGAACCCUCCCGAAUGCAGAUUCAGGCUCCAAAUAACAAUCUUGAGGGUGUAAGAUUGACCAACGUACAAGCAUUAGCUAACAACAUUAAACUCUAAAUAAUUUAGAAAUAUUGUGUGAAAUUUUGUGUGUGUUGAUGCAGUGCCAGACUAGAAUGAGCUUCCCAAAUCAUGUGACCACUUUGGCGCCCUGCCAAUGAACAUGGCAGUCACGUGUUUGAUGAACCGUGGAAACAUCAAUUUUCUGCUAAUCUGCGAACCGCAGAAAAUAACAU